GUGUGUGUGUCUCAGUGGGUAAGAGUGCUUGUUGUGAAAACAAGAUGACCUGAGUUCAAAUCCCCAGCACUCAUG
rnacentral:tRNA from 1 species